UACGAAGGGGGGCUAGCGUUGUUCGGAAUUACUGGGCGUAAAGCGCGCGCAGGCGGCUAUCCAAGUCAGUGGUGAAAGCCCGGAGCUUAACUCCGGAACUGCCAUUGAAACUGUUUAGCUUGAGGACGAGAGAGGUGAGUGGAAUUCCCAGUGUAGAGGUGAAAUUCGUAGAUAUUGGGAAGAACACCGGUGGCGAAGGCGGCUCACUGGCUCGUUUCUGACGCUCAGGCGCGACAGCGUGGGGAUCAAACAGG
rnacentral:rRNA from 1 species